AGUAUCGCGUGGGUAACCUGCCUCAUACAGGGGGAUAACAGUUAGAAAUGACUGCUAAUACCGCAUAAGCGCACAGUGCUGCAUGGCACAGUGUGAAAAACUCCGGUGGUAUGAGAUGGACCCGCGUCUGAUUAGCUAGUUGGUGGGGUAACGGCCUACCAAGGCGACGAUCAGUAGCCGGCCUGAGAGGGUGAACGGCCACAUUGGGACUGAGACACGGCCCAAACUCCUACGGGAGGCAGCAUG
rnacentral:rRNA from 1 species